rnacentral:rRNA from 1 species
UACGUAGGUGGCGAGCGUUGUCCGGAAUUACUGGGCGUAAAGGGUGCGUAGGCGGCUCCUUAAGUGAGGUGUGAAAUCCCUGGGCUCAACCCAGGAACUGCACUUCAAACUGGGGAGCUAGAGUGCAGGAGAGGAAAGCGGAAUUCCCGGUGUAGCGGUGAAAUGCGUAGAGAUCGGGAGGAACACCAGUGGCGAAGGCGGCUUUCUGGACUGUAACUGACGCUGAGGCACGAAAGCGUGGGGAGCAAACAGG